GCGCGGCGAAAAACCUUACACACAGUGUUUUUUGUUAUUACAAGAACUUUUGCUUUGGUCUGGACUAGAAAUAGUUUGGGCCAGAGGUUUACUGAACUAAACUUCAAUAUUUAUAUUGAAUUGUUAUUUAUUUAAUUGUCAAUUUGUUGAUUAAAUUCAAAAAAUCUUCAAAACUUUCAACAACGGAUCUCUUGGUUCUCGCAUCGAUGAAGAACGCAGCGAAAUGCGAUAAGUAAUAUGAAUUGCAGAUUUUCGUGAAUCAUCGAAUCUUUGAACGCACAUUGCGCCCUCUGGUAUUCCAGAGGGCAUGCCUGUUUGAGCGUCAUUUCUCUCUCAAACCUUCGGGUUUGGUAUUGAGUGAUACUCUUAGUCGAACUAGGCGUUUGCUUGAAAUGUAUUGGCAUGAGUGGUACUGGAUAGUGCUAUAUGACUUUCAAUGUAUUAGGUUUAUCCAACUCGUUGAAUAGUUUAAUGGUAUAUUUCUCGGUAUUCUAGGCUCGGCCUUACAAUAUAACAAACAAGUUUGACCUCAAAUCAGGUAGGAUUACCCGCUGAACUUAAGCAUAUCAA
rnacentral:rRNA from 2 species